AUACGUAGGGAGCGAGCGUUGUCCGGAAUUACUGGGUGUAAAGGGAGCGUAGGCGGGAAGGCAAGUCAGCUGUGAAAUACAUGGGCUUAACCCAUGGACUGCAGUUGAAACUGUUUUUCUUGAGUGAAGUAGAGGUAGGCGGAAUUCUGAGUGUAGCGGUGAAAUGCGUAGAUAUUCGGAGGAACACCAGUGGCGAAGGCGGCCUACUGGGCUUUAACUGACGCUGAGGCUCGAAAGUGUGGGGAGCAAACAGGAUUAGAUACCCUGGUAGUCCACACUGUAAACGAUGAUUGCUAGGUGUGGGAGGUCUGACCCCUUCCGUGCCGCAGUUAACGCAAUAAGCAAUCCACCUGGGGAGUACGAUCGCAAGAUUAAA
rnacentral:rRNA from 1 species